GUCUGGGUGAUUCCUAGUGGUCUAGGGUGCAGGCCUCAAACCUGUAGCUAUCUACUAACAGAGCAGUUCAAUUCCACCUUCCAGGCA